CUCUGUCUCACCCUUUUUCAAAAAUAAUAAACAUUACAAAAUUUUUAGUAAAUAAAUAAGAAAGAAAGAUUAUUUUUUUAACAACACCACAUUGGCCAAACAUCGGAGGGACACAUCCAGCCCCCAAGCCACCUGCAUCCAAACUCUGAGGGACUAAUAUCUCUUCCCAAAGGGGAAAGGUUGGAUUCUGCCAUGCAACAGGUUCCCAGAGAGGCACUGGAUUUUACCCUACUCACAUAGAGUCCCAUUGGGGGCAGGGCUCUGGACAGGGGCAGCGGUGGUGUGAAUGCUUCCCACACAGUCUUGAUGGUCAAGAAAGAGUCCCUCUGCUCAGCCUGGCUCUGUGGCAGAGAUUAAGGCCAGCCACUUUUGAAUGAACGGGUGAACCCUUCAGAGGAAGCCUCCGUGGACAGCUGAUAGGGGCAGUUCAGACUUGCCUGGACUGUGAAAACCGUAGGAACAAGGAAAGAGCUACUCCCAAAUGCCAGAUACGAGAAGUCCCAGUGACCUUAGCCAGUGGGGGCUUAAAGCUGGUUUUAUUCUGAUUUAGAAAAAUAAAGAAAUGUGGCAUUUUUUACAUUGUGGAUAUCAGAGAACAAUUUGUAUCUUUUACACUUUACGCUUUAUGUUAAAUUGUCAUAAGAUCCCAGAGGAAGGAAUUUUCAUUCCAACUGGGGAAAUAGCUUUGUUUAGGUGUGUUUUGCUUCUGGCCAGUUUGGCCAGAAAGAUUCGUGGAAGAAGUAGCAUUUGAGCUGAGUCCAGAAGCUGAGGAGAGAAAGAUCGAAUCCAAUCAAAGAAAAGAGCAUAGACCCAUGGUUCCCAAACUGUGUGCUCAGGCACCCUGGGGUGCCACAGCAAAUUAACAGGAGCAUAGUAAAAUAUUUUAAAUUCUGGAGAGAAACAAUAUCAUCUGUUGGACACUGAAAACUAGUAGCUGGAAAUAGUUAACAAUUUCAGCAUUAAACUUUACUACAUUCUUUUCUAUGACAUUGUAUCUUUGUAAAUGUGGGUUUUCAUCAAUUGAUGCGACAAGAAGCAAAUAACUCCUGUAAAUCAAGGUGGAACAGGAAAUGAGAGUUGAUGUCCGAAUGUCCCAUGUGAUUGCAAGGUCUGAGAAGAUGCACAGAUACCAUUAAAUUUUGUUUGUUUAUAGAAAAAUAGAUCCGGUUAUAUAAUGUGGAAUCCUUUUCCUCCUGAAACCCCGUUAAAGAAAUAGCAGGGGAAUUAUAAGAAGUUACAAUCCACAAGGACACAAAGAACGGAAAAAGGAGGGAAUGGGAGAUGAGCGACAAAAGUCUGGAAGAUGAACAGCACGUAAUUCAUGACUGCGGAGAAAAGAGGAAGUGGAAACAUGAAUCUUCAAAAAGAGACCAGCGGACUCAACCACAGGACCUUGGCACGGCUCAGGAUUCAUUGGUACCACGUCCUUCCAAAGAUGAGGAAACCAAGCAGUUCGUCCGAGCUCUCACAGUCAACAAGAGAAAGGAUCCAAACCAUGCCAUGUGUGGUUCUGAGGAGGCAAAUAUAAUCCUGCCCAUUUUACAGAUGAGAAAACUGAGGUCUCAAGAAUGAAGUGACUUGCCUGGCUCACGCAGGAAGUGGCUUAGCCAGAAUUCCAGCCCAGGUUUGUCUGACCUCCAAGUCCAUGCUCUUGACAUCACCUGCUCCCACCUCCCCCUCUGGGAGUGGUGGGCCUUGGUUUACAAAGGAUGAGAGAGAAGAAACCAGAGAAGGCGCUGAGCAGAGGUAGAGGCCCCUUCCAAAGCCCCAUGCCUAAUUUUGUUUUUUGUAAUUGUGUUUUCUCUACCUUUUUUAUCUUUAGUUUAUUUAUUUAUUUUGAGAGAGAGAGAGAGAGAGGA